AGGACGAACGCUGGCGGCGUGCUUAACACAUGCAAGUCGAGCGGUAAGGCCCUUCGGGGUACACGAGCGGCGAACGGGUGAGUAACACGUGAGCAAUCUGCCCUUCACAUCGGGAUAACCCCCCGGAAACGGGAGCUAAUACCGGAUACGACCACUUCAGGCAUCUGAUGGUGGUGGAAAGUUCUGGCGGUGGAGGAUGAGCUCGCGGCCUAUCAGCUUGUUGGUGAGGUAAUGGCCCACCAAGGCUUCGACGGGUAGCCGGCCUGAGAGGGUGACCGGCCACACUGGGACUGAGACACGGCCCAGACUCCUACGGGAGGCAGCAGUGGGGAAUAUUGGACAAUGGGCGAAAGCCUGAUCCAGCAACGCCGCGUGAGGGAUGACGGCCUUCGGUUGUAACCUCUUUCAGCGCAGACGAAGCGAAAGUGACGGUAUGCGCAGAAGAAGCACCGGCAACUACGUGCCAGCAGCCGC
rnacentral:rRNA from 1 species